rnacentral:rRNA from 1 species
GACGAACGCUGGCGGCGUGCUUAACACAUGCAAGUCGAACGGUGAAGGAAGAGCUUGCUCUUCCGGAUCAGUGGCGAACGGGUGAGUAACACGUGGGCAACCUGCCCCUGACUCUGGGAUAACUCCUCGAAAGAGGUGCUAAUACCGGAUACGACCACUUCGGACAUCCGAUGGUGGUGGAAAGUUUUUCGGUCAGGGAUGGGGCCCGCGGCCUAUCAGCUAGUUGGUGGGUAAUGGCCUACCAAGGCGACGACGGGUAGCCGGCCUGAGAGGGCGACCGGCCACACUGGACUGAGACACGGCCCAGACUCCUACGGGAGGCAGCAGUGGGGAAUAUUGCGCAAUGGGCGAAGGCCUGACGCAGCGACGCCGCGUGAGGGAUGAAGGCCUUCGGGUUGU